rnacentral:lncRNA from 1 species
GUUCAACCUAAACAGUGCACGUGGAAUACAGAGAUGCCCUAAAUAUAUAUAGAGAGAAUACGGACAUUCCUUCAAUAUGCACAAAUAAAUAUGAAAGUGUAAAUGCCUAUGCUCUAGAAGGGGUUUAAAACGCAAAAGAAAGACAAAAACCUGUUUAUCGAAAGAAUUUAACAGCUCGAUCCCCCUCUGAACAUCCCCCAGCUGCUCCCAAUCCCUCCCAGAAAUCAGCUGCUCCCACCGCGUUAAUCAGCGCCCUUCGCAGCAACUUUUCAAUCAGGUUUAACUCUCUGCACCUGGGCAGAGCAGAAUUUAUCCUUCCCGGGCGGGCCUUCCACACCUGCCGCGGCUUUUUCUCCUGCUGUACCUGGGUGUGCCCGGGUGUGUCCCCGGCGGGACGAGCGGAGGCGCCGAGCCCGGAGCGAGCGGGCACCGAACACCGGACACGGGCACCGAGGAAAAUGUUUAAAAAGCCGUGGUGCCCGUGGCCCUGUCCCUGCAGCACCAGGCCUGCUGUCCCCAGUGUCCCCAUAGAGCCCCUGCCACCUCCUCAGCACCGACCGUGCUCUCCACAUUGACUGCAUCAGGCUGCUCCUAUCGACGUUGUUAAGCUCAGGUUUAACUUGCAUAACAUCACAGAUCCUCCUCCAAAGCCAAUGCAUUAAUUGCUGGGGAAGAACAGGAAAACAUAAAGAGCCUUUCAAGGGAAUAAUUUUCUAAAAGUCAGAAUCUGCAAAGCUUAUUUCUGAUAUCACGAGUGCAAUGGAAAUAUUCAGCAAGGUAAGAAACUCCUGCUCCAGGGCUGAAAUCCUCUCUGCUCCUCCUGGAGAGGGA